AGCCUGCUAAACUCUGAUUUCUGAGAAAAAGAAAGAAAUGAGACUGAAUCUAGAGCCUCACAGAUACUAAGCAUGCAUUUUACCAUGAAAGUAUACCCAGCCCAUGGAUCAAAGGAGAAAUCAUCAGCAUAGACCAUCCCUCCCAGAACUGCUACGCCCAGUCCACAUCGAGCCUGAUGAAGUGAAGACACAGUGGUCCAGUACUGACUAAAG